ACUAGCAUGUCAUUAGCAUGUCGUGUAUCAUUAGUGUGUCACUAGUGUCAUUAGCAUGUUGUGUAUCAUUAGUGUGUCACUAGCGUGUCAUUAGCGUGUCAUUAGCAUGUCAUUAGUAUGCCGUUAGCGUGUCGUUUGCAUGUCAUGUGCCAUUAGCAUGUCAUUAGCGUGCCAUUAGCAUGUUGUUAGCGUGUUGUUAGCAUGUCGUGCGUCAUUAGCAUGUCAUUAGCGUGCCGUUAGCAUGCCAUCAGCAUGUCAUUAGUGUGUCACUAGCGUGUCGUUAGCAUGUCGUGUAUCAUUAGCAUGUAAUUAGCAUGUAAUUACCAUGUCCAUCCCUUAGUGAGUUCUCCAAGGAACGUGAGAAGGCCAAAGCUCGCGGCGACUUCCAGAAGCUGCGGGAGAAGCAGCAGCUGGAGGAGGAUCUGAGGGGCUACAUGGAGUGGAUCACACAGGCCGAGGACAUGGAGGGGGACGAGGACGAGCACGAGAAGCACCGGCUGACGACAGAGGAGCUGAUGGGGAAGAGGAAACCGCGACUCAAAUGGCUGCGACACGCCAGUCACUCCACGGAUACACACGCCAGCCUCCCUGGUAGCGAGACCACGUCGGUGAACACUGAGACAGCGGGGGAGGAGGAAACACAACCCAACGCCUGCGACCGGUGUCUGUGAGUGACCCUAUAUGGGCCCUAUAGACCCUACAGCCCCUGUGGGGCACCCCAUAGACCCUAUAGACCCUACAGCCCCAUAUGGGGCACCACAUAGACCCUAUAGACCCUACAGCCCCAUAUGGUGUGCCCCAUAGACCCUACAGCCCCCUAUGGUGCUCCCCAUAGACCCUACAGCCCCCCAUAGACCCUACAGCCCCCUAUGGUGCUCCCCAUAG
rnacentral:lncRNA from 1 species